rnacentral:lncRNA from 1 species
AGAGACCCAAAAAGACCAUUAUUUUCUGCUUUGCAGCCAGUACAAUGUGAUCAAAUUUGGGAUCAGCUGAUAUAUUUGCCUCCACAUAACUGUUAAUAGGAUGAGCAAGGUGAAAUGGCAGAUCCACCAUCUCAGUGUACGUGUAAAGUUUGCUGAAAAGAUCACCUCACCUUGCUAUAAAAGUUAAGACACCUCUCAUCUCUGCAAUUUCUAUAGUCAUACAGUUUUGUCUCCAAAAAGGAGUGAUAUAACAUUCAGAAGAAAAUGAGCUACCUUCUCAAGCUUGGCAGGCUUGACAACAUAAGCAACCUUCGUUUCAUCAUCUCAUCUUCAUAAGGCUGAUAUUCAACUUCCAGAAGCUUAGCAGUAAAGCUUCCUUGAUCAGAGCAGUAACAAAUUUAUAAUAUUUGUCACUU